AACGCAUAUUGCACUCCUCGGUAUUCCUUGGAGUAUGUCUGUUUCAGUAUCAUAAAGUAAUAUCAAGUCUUUAGGGCUUGGAGGUGGGCUUCGUAGAUUAUUUCUACUUGCCUGAAAUUCAUUCGUGGCCGCAUCUUGUCAAAGAUAGAGGCGUCAUAGUUGACUUUGGUCAUCUUUCGCUGACACCUUUGAAAGUGCAUAAGACUACGUUAAAUUUUUCAUCUACUUGAUCUGAAAUCAGAUAAGACUACCCGCUGAACUUAA
rnacentral:misc_RNA from 1 species